rnacentral:lncRNA from 1 species
CUCCCCCAGGCCAGGUUGUUCCCACCCGGCGCUCCCACGGGACGGAGCAGCUCAGCCAGCCCCCACCCAGCAGGGUUUAAAUCCCGGCUGGCGGGGCGCAGCAGCACGGCUCCCCGCAGCAGCAUGAUGCCAGGCACUGGCACCCUGGUGCUGGUGCUCCUGGCCCUGUGCGUGGAGCUUCCCCCCUCCCCAGCCCAGCAGCCCCGAGCAGGGGACCAUGGCGCUGCCCCCACUGCCGGCCCCCUGCCGCACCGUGCCCCGCGGGGCCGCAGGCUGCCAGCCACCCCGCCGGCCCCAGGCAAAGCAGGCGAGUGCCCGGCAGCGGGGAGCAGCCCCCCGCGCCCCAGCAGGCUGUACUGCCUCUCCGACCACAGCUGCCCCGGGGCCGAGAAGUGCUGCCGCCGCGGGGACGUCCGCGCCUGCCUCCUCCCUGCCACAGGUACGGCCAGCCACGAGGGAUGGGGUGCGGGGGGCUGCCGGCUGCAGGAGCCGGUGGGGUGCCCAGGGGACCCCCACUCCCUGGCUUGCCGUGCACCGAGCGUCUCCCCCCGCAGAGAGCCCAGGCUACUGCCCCCGUGCCGGCCCCAGCGGGGCGAGCUGCGGGGCGAGCUGCAGCAACGACACCGCCUGCGGCCCUGCAGGAGAAGUGCUGCACCCACAGCUGCUGCGCACGCUGCCUGCCCGCACAGCCAGCCAAACCUGGCCUCUGCCCUCGGAAGCGAGCAGCGGCGCGGCACAGCAGCGUGCCCCAGCCGCUGCGCUGACGACAGGGACUGCCCCGGGGACCACAAGUGCUGCUUCUCCGGCUGCGGCCUGGCCUGCACCUCCCCGCACACAGGUACCCCCCCAGACCCCCUGCUCGGUGUGAACGCUCCGUGCACACCUGUGCACCCCCCCGCAGGACCCUGCAGCCCCCUGGUUGUGGGCAGGGGGUGCGCGGCUCCUCCCCAGUGCCACAGCGUACCCAGGCAGUGCCUCUGCCCGGGUACGGCCCCGACCCUCCGUGCCCCCCAGGAGCAGACCCACGGGACAGCAGAGGGCAGGGCUGGCACCGGGCUGGGAUGGGGGGCAGGAUGGGGGGGCUGGAUGGACCCCGAGGCCAUGGCCCCAUCAUGGGCACGGCUGGGCACUGGUGCUCGGGGCCGCUGUCUUGCAGCAAAGCCCGGUGCGUGCCCCGUGGUGCUGCGGGGCUCCCUGGGGCCCUGCCAGGAGCUGUGCGACACCGACAGGCGACUGUCCCUGGGGCGAGGAAAUGCUGCUCCACCGGCUGCGGACACGUCUGCAAAGCACCCACCGAGGCCCGGCCGGGGCUCUGCCCCCCCGCAGCCGCCGGUGUCGGAGCAGGCGAGUGCCUCACGCUGUGCCUGCAGGACGAGGACUGCCCCCCCAGCCACAAGUGCUGCCUGCGGGACUGCGGCCGGGCGUGCGUCCCCCCGCUGCAGGGUAAGGCCAGCCCCAAACCCUGCCCGCAGGGGAAGGCAUGGUGUGGCCCCAGCAGCCCGG